rnacentral:tRNA from 1 species
GGCCGGUUAGCACAAUUGGUAGUGUGUCUGACUACGAAAGUUUGAAAGAACUGAGAUCAUCAGGAGGUUGCGGGUUCGAGCCCCGUGCUGGUCA